GACGUAGGGGGCGAGCGUUGUCCGGAUUUAUUGGGCGUAAAGAGCUCGUAGGCGGCUCAGCAAGUCAGGUGUGAAACCUCCAGGCUUAACCUGGAGACGCCACCUGAUACUGCUGUGGCUGGAGUCCGGUAGGGGAGCAGGGAAUAUCCGGUGUAGCGGUGAAAUGCUUAGAUAUGACUUAGAACACCAAUUGCGAAGGCAGCUUGCUAAACAAACAUUGACGCUGAGGCACGAAAGCGUGGGGAUCAAACAGG
rnacentral:rRNA from 1 species